UGGGGGAUAUUGCACAAUGGAGGAAACUCUGAUGCAGCAAUGCCGCGUGAGGGAAGACGGUCUUCGGAUUGUAAACCUCUGUCCUUGGUGAAGAUAAUGACGGUAGCCAAGGAGGAAGCUCCGGCUAACUACGUGCCAGCAGCCGCGGUAAUACGUAGGGAGCAAGCGUUGUCCGGAUUUACUGGGUGUAAAGGGUGCGUAGGCGGCUUUUUAAGUCGGGCGUGAAAGCUGUGGGCUUAACCCACAAAUUGCGUUCGAAACUGGAAGGCUUGAGUGAAGUAGAGGUAGGCGGAAUUCCCGGUGUAGCGGUGAAAUGCGUAGAGAUCGAGAGGAACACCAGUGGCGAAGGCGGCCUACUGGGCUUUAACUGACGCUGAGGCACGAAAGCAUGGGUAGCAAACA
rnacentral:rRNA from 1 species